ensembl:ncRNA lncRNA:CR45128 long non-coding RNA:CR45128
GAUAAAGUAUACCUCUAUAAAUGAAAAGAAAAAAGAAACCAGAUUCACCUGUUCAUAACAACCGGUGCAAGCACACCUGCGCAGCUGUGCGUGGCGGUUCUCCACAGAAGGUUCUUCAAGAAGCUCUGGACUAGUGUAGUCCGGAACUGUGCAGAAACUAGAACUAUGCCAUCAAACCCACCCAAAGAAGCAUCAAAUCGGGAACCAAAACAAACCGUUGGCAGCAGCAGCGUCGGUGGCAGAAGGAAGGCAGCGGACAGCAGCUUCCCAGCGCCAGCAGAGACGUUGACGUGACGGUGGCUGUGACGUCGCCGACUCCCGCUGCCCGCUGCCAGGAGACGGAAACCUGUGGCAUUGCUGCUGGCUCCACUUGACUGCAACUCCAGCUUUCCAGCCACCUACUUGCAUAAUCGAAAGCGGAUGAGGUGCAGCGAUUUGGCCGAAAAUUUAAGGUUCGAUCAACGGCCGUCGAGGGGGUGGGGUGAACGGUACAUUUUGUUGGUAUACUCAUGAAAACGAAACGAAAGCUGCCUGGUCGGUCUCCGGUAUGUACAGUGGGACUCUGAAGUGUUGACACAGCUGUUCUAAUUUGUGCUUAUCUAUUGACCUUUCCAAAGCCCUAUAUUUUAAUUUUCCGAAUUCUCAUCCUAUUCAAUAUUAAAAUAAAAUCCAUAGUUUCGUCUAAAGAACUGAGCAACUUAUUUAUUU